rnacentral:lncRNA from 1 species
GCCUUAAACGUCCGAAAUCUCUCAACAUCUACGAGUCUUCUGUACCCCUUUUUUUUUUUAGUAUCGAUCUUAAUCUUUUUUUUCUUUUCUUUCUUUCAAUACCGAAAGUGUUACAUCUCUACGAUUAAUUUGGUUUCGUUAGAAAUUAUAUAUAUUCGGUGUAUUGAAGUAAUACAGAUGUGUUUUGUCUUACGAUCUGCCUCCUCCUGGAUUUAUUCGAACCAUCGAGUAAACUCAAUCUGUGUACAGAUUUAUAUACACUUAAAUGUAUAACGAUGAAAUUUAGUAUUUCAAAAAAAGGAAAGAGUAUAUAUUU